rnacentral:lncRNA from 1 species
UCGAAUGCUCCUUUAGUUCUCAAAGGAAUCACUUGCACUUUCCAAGAAGGGACCAGAGUAGGAAUUGUUGGAAGGACUGGAAGUGGAAAAACUACGCUCAUAAGCACCUUGUUUCGCCUAGUAGAACCUGCAAGUGGGAAAAUUCUUAUAGAUGGACUUGAUAUAUGCUCUAUGGGACUGAAAGAUUUGAGAAUGAAGCUUAGCAUCAUUCCUCAAGAGCCAACUCUAUUUAGAGGCAGCAUUCGAACUAACUUAGACCCCCUAGGCCUCUAUUCAGAUGAUGAAAUAUGGAAGGUGAACCAACUAAUCAUGAAUAUUAACAUAAAAAAAUUUCCAAAAAUGAGCUUUUGGAACUUACCUUUGUAUUCCCGUGGCAGGCUUUGGAGAAGUGUCAACUUAAAACAACAAUCAGUGCGCUGCCAAACAAGCUAGAUUCAUCUGGUGAGUUGAAUUUUAGUGACUAUGUACUAAAUUCCUUGUGAUAGACUAUCUUUUCU